rnacentral:piRNA from 1 species
GGGAUGCUCACCUGUGUGCACAUAUAC